rnacentral:tRNA from 1 species
GGAGAGUUCGCAUAGUGGUCUAGUGCGCACGCUUGGAAAGCGUGUGAAGCGUAAAAGCUUCCAAGGGUUCGAAUCCCUUACUCUCCGCCA